rnacentral:rRNA from 1 species
GAUGAACGCUAGCGGGAGGCUUAACACAUGCAAGUCGAGCGGUAUUUCCCUUCGGGGAGAGAGAGCGGCGCACGGGUGCGUAACGCGUAUGCAAUCUGCCUUAUGCAGGGGGAUAGCCCGGGGGAAACCCGGAUUAAUACCCCAUAGAUCAGUAGAACCGCAUGGUUUAAUUGGUAAAGAUUUAUCGGCAUAAGAUGAGCAUGCGUCUGAUUAGCUAGUUGGUAGGGUAACGGCCUACCAAGGCGACGAUCAGUAGGGGUUCUGAGAGGAUUACCCCCCACACUGGUACUGAGACACGGACCAGACUCCUACGGGUGGCUG